AUACGGAGGGUGCAAGCGUUAAUCGGAAUCACUGGGCGUAAAGCGCGCGUAGGUGGAUCAAUUAGUUGAGGGUGAAAUCCCGGGGCUCAACCUCGGAACUGCCUUCAAUACUGUUGAUCUUGAGACCGAGAGAGGUGAGUGGAAUUCCUAGUGUAGAGGUGAAAUUCGUAGAUAUUAGGAAGAACACCAGUGGCGAAGGCGGCUCACUGGCUCGGUACUGACGCUGAGGUGCGAAAGCGUGGGGAGCAAACAGGAUUAGAAACCCUAGUAGUCC
rnacentral:rRNA from 1 species